rnacentral:lncRNA from 1 species
UCAUCUAAAUCAGACAAAUGCAAAGAUAAGGAGAAGAUCAUGAGGAAGCCAAGAGGUGGACAAACACAAACGCCCAGAAGAGUCUUCCAGGUCAAGAACUGUCUGGAGAAAAGCCAUUGCAGUGACAUGAGAAUGUCAGAAGUAAAACCGAGGCGGAGCUGAGCAGAGUUAAGCAUUCUGAUUUCAAUUCAUGAAGCAGGAAAUCUUUCUGGCAGGUCCUGGGUGAGAGAGAAAGAGAGCGGGAGGACACGUGCCAGUUCGUGUGCCAUCAAAGGAAUCGGCCUUUCUUUCAUGGCAAUGCCUUUGGAGCAAACCUGAAGCCUGUAAGGCAACAACAAUGACAGUCUCUUUCCCACCUCCCAGAAGAGGAUGAGAAUAAAUCCAGCGAUAAUGGGA